AGACCGAGCGCGCCCGCAGUCCAGACAAGCCAAGGCAGCAAGUAACUGCUGAGAUAAAGCGUGUUCAUGUAGAUCGGCGCGGCCAGCGCCAGCAAUAGCAGAAUACCAAUCAUCCAUCGANGGAUCGGAAACAGUGCGCGGUCGGCGCUGUAAUCCGUAUGAAAAAUCCCGGCUUGACGGAAUAGCAUGAUCCUAGACCCUCUCGAUGUCGUGGCGACCGAAAAGUCCGUGCGGUCGGAUCAAGAU
rnacentral:misc_RNA from 1 species